rnacentral:rRNA from 1 species
GAUGAACGCUGGCGGCGUGCCUAAUACAUGCAAGUCGAGCGAACAGACGAGGAGCUUGCUCCUCUGACGUUAGCGGCGGACGGGUGAGUAACACGUGGAUAACCUACCUAUAAGACUGGGAUAACUUCGGGAAACCGGAGCUAAUACCGGAUAAUAUAUUGAACCGCAUGGUUCAAUAGUGAAAGACGGUUUUGCUGUCACUUAUAGAUGGAUCCGCGCCGCAUUAGCUAGUUGGUAAGGUAACGGCUUACCAAGGCAACGAUGCGUAGCCGACCUGAGAGGGGGAUUGGCCACAAGGGAAAUUGGAACAGGUACAGACUCCCAAGGGAGGGAGAAGUAGGGAAUUUUUCGGAAAGGGGGGAAGGCCGAAGGAGGAAAGGCGGGUGAGUGAUGAAGGUAUUCGGAUUGUAAAAACGUUGUUUUAGGGAAGAAAAAAAUUGUAAAUAAAUAUGCCCGGUUUGAAGGGAACUAAAUAGAAAGACCCGGGUAAAUACGUG